rnacentral:rRNA from 1 species
UAGGGAAUCUUCCACAAUGGACGCAAGUCUGAUGGAGCAACGCCGCGUGAGUGAAGAAGGUUUUCGGACCGUAAAGCUCUGUUGUUGGUGAAGAAGGAUAGAGGUAGUAACUGGCCUUUAUUUGACGGUAAUCAACCAGAAAGUCACGGCUAACUACGUGCCAGCAGCCGCGGUAAUACGUAGGUGGCAAGCGUUGUCCGGAUUUAUUGGGCGUAAAGCGAGCGCAGGCGGAAGAAUAAGUCUGAUGUGAAAGCCCUCGGCUUAACCGAGGAAUUGCAUCGGAAACUGUUUUCUUGAGUGCAGAAGAGGAGAGUAGAACUCCAUGUGUAGCGGUGGAAUGCGUAGAUAUAUGGAAGAAUACCAGUGGCGAAGGCGGCUCUCUGGUCUGCAACUGACGCUGAGGCUCGAAAGCAUGGGUAGCGAACAGGAUUAGAUACCCUGGUAGUCCAUGCCGUAAACGAUGAGUGCUAAGUGUUGGGAGGCUUCCGCCUCUCAGUGCUGCAGCUAACGCAUUAAGUACUCCGCCUGGGGGAGUACGACCGCAAGGUUGAAAC